rnacentral:tRNA from 1 species
AGGAAGUUAGUCUAAAACAAAGACAGUUGAUUUCGACUCAACA